rnacentral:lncRNA from 1 species
UAUAUUAUUAACCCAUUAUCAUACAGCUACUAUGUCACACAGAUAAAAAAGAGUAGGAACUUUAUGCAACAAUUUUGCUAAGAACUGGACAUUCUGGGCUAAGAACAAGGCUUUGGAAGUCCAUUUACAUCUGUAUAGAUUUUGAGAGAACUCUGGAAAGAUUCAACUAACUCGAAAGUGGAGCCCAAGACAAAAGACAGAAGGAAAGACUCUCCCUGACGUAUCUGGAAAACUUGACUUUAAGAAAAAAAUAUGGGACUCAAGAAAAUGGAUUCUGGAUCCAGAUCCGCAUGGAUUCAAAUCCUGGAUCUACCAUUUAUGAGACAACUUAAAACAGCUGCAUGGGAGGUGAAGGAAGGAAGAGGAGCCAAGGAUUAAAUGAUCCAAACUUCAAAUACCAUGGAAGCAUAUUUUAAAGGAGUUUAAUGAAAUUACCAAGUUAGAAUCUCUCUGAGGCCUUGAGCUACGCAGAACAAACAAAAAUCAAUGGAUUUUUAACAACAACAACAACAAAGUCAGCCACUGAGCUGUUUCACAGAGGAGUUUCUUAGCAAGCUAAGAUGAAAGUGCCCAGUGUCAUGACGUGUCUCUGGAACUUGUCCGGGUCCCAAGCCACAGGACUGUAGACACAGCCAACAGAGGUCCCUCAGUGAACACUCAAGCCCCCUAGAUUUAGCCCAGAGACUUUACAACAGACCACUCAAAUCUGAAUACGUCUUCUGAAACAGCCCAAUACAUCACAGAUCCCUCUGCGAGAAACAACGUAGCUCUGAAAUAACAAAUGUGCCCAAAACUGGACUUGUGAGAGCCCAACCAACACAGAAUGGGUGCUAAGACCC